CAAUCAGCGAUGAUCCCGUUCACCAAUCAGCGUUACGUUUCACUGUAUAAAAGAACGCGUCACAUUCUCAUCUUCCUCCUUCAACCCGCGCUCUGAGAGAAUGGAGGUGUUUGUCCACAUGUGUUACGUAUCACCACGUGGUUCCACCGCGGUCAUCACUGCAAAGGUCAGUUGAUGCAGAAUGAGUUGAAUAUGAUCGAGAUGUUCUGCUGCCAAGAUGCUCCUUGAGAUGGUCUCAGUGAGCCUUCUCUAAGAGAUGGUGUGGCUCUACCAGUGUGAAGGCGCCUGUUGUGUGGGUCCCUGCACUGGUGCUGAGGAUCUGUGGGACUGGUGGAGCAGAUGCAGGCUUGAAGCAGCUCCUGACCAGCAUGUGGAAUUUGGAGAUGGUGCAAGUCCCAUUUAAUAUUAAGGUGUGGCUUGAUGUUUGACACGUUCACUGUUUGUUGUAUGAACUCAAAACAAAUAAAGAUGCUUGUUUUCUUCA